UUUACCUCGAGAAGCAUUGCAAGCAGCAUUCUAUGAACAAGUUAUGUGGGUUGGAGGUCCUAUCUGUACGCAACAAGAGGUUUUUUGUUCUAUUCAUUGUUGCCAUAUGCAGUUCUAUGCUAGAAAUGCAUUCCAGCAUGAACCUGAGCAGUGACGUCAUAAGGCAAGUAAGCCUAUAUAAGUUGUAAUUCAGCACAUGAAUUCUGAGUAGGUAAUUAGGUGUAUUCUUCGAGGUGGAUUUAAAUCUUGGGAAGCUGCUCAUGAAAGCGAUUGCUCAGUGUAAAUUUUGUUUGCAGGUUUACCCAGAAAUAACUACACUGAUUAAUCGUAAGGCACACUUUUGAUCCUAGAACUGGAACUGUAUUUACACAAUAUGAUAUAACUCACCAGUUUGUUCAUAAUUGCCUCUAGAAGGACUAUUAGCUAAUCAGAAUUUUCGAUACUGUAGUAUAUGAUAUGUUCAUUGAAUUGCAUGUUGAAUUACCUAAUGUUCUUUUUUGUUUUGUACCUGUUGCUAGCCUUUCCAUGUGCCUCUCAAUAUUGGUGCCAGUGUGGGCAACCUUCUUGCACAUUUGAAGUUCAGUGUUGUCGAUGCCAAAUGGAUCAGACAUGACCUGCACACUUAAAGUUCUGAGUAGUUGAUGCCAAAUGGAUGGACGAAGUAAUUACCCAGCAUCUGUCUUAGGAGUUGGAGCCCUAAAAAUCUAUUAACAGAAAUUAUAUGGAAAGAAGAAAAGGUUUGUGCAUUUAGGGGUAUGUGUUUCUCCUCUUCUCUUCCAUUCAGUUUGUUGACUAUAUGAAUGUGGUCCACACGAUAAACACCUGAGAUAUGGAUGAUGUCCUCAUGAAGUACUCCGAGAUUGAGAAGGUGUGAUUUAAAAGGUAUGGACGAGUCAAGGAGGCACGAUCCGCGAGUGAAGGAAAUCUUUAUGAGCGACACUCGGAAUUUCUUUGAACAUAUCAUAAAUUCAGAAUUCUCCAGGUUUUAGGGACUGUAAAUUCCCUAUGUUCAGAGGACAAUAGUAGGAAAAUGAUGUAGUUUGGUCACAAAAUAUGUCAUAAAGUGCAAGUUCCUGCAUAAUGUUAGCAAGAUGGUCUACGUGGUACAUGUGGCC